UAUUUUUAACCUACCAUUUAAUUUAGGACUUGGGUUGCCGUGUUCCUGCUAUGGCGUUUGUGGCUGUUACCUGAAGACUGCCUGCAGCAUUCAUGUCCUAACGGUUCCCAGCAUCUGUGGCAUCAAGUUGCUAAACAAGGACAAGGCACACAAACAUGGGGACCUGGCGAUACGUUCUAGGAAGCAGAGCGCUCUCUUGCACAUCGUGAAAGCUUUAAAUCGUGAAAUACGGAAAAAAGUGAACGCGAGAAAGUGGCAAAAUAA